rnacentral:rRNA from 1 species
GUGGGGAAUCUUCCGCAAUGGACGAAAGUCUGACGGAGCAACGCCGCGUGAGUGAUGAAGGUCUUCGGAUUGUAAAGCUCUGUUAAUCGGGACGAAAGAGCCUAGUGUGAAUAAUGCUAGGAAGUGACGGUACCGGAAUAGAAAGCCACGGCUAACUACGUGCCAGCAGCCGCGGUAAUACGUAGGUGGGAAGCGUUGUCCGGAAUUAUUGGGCGUAAAGCGCGCGCAGGCGGAUCUGCCAGUCUGUCUUAAAAGUUCGGGGCUUAACCCCGUGAUGGGAUGGAAACUACAGAUCUAGAGUAUCGGAGAGGAAAGUGGAAUUCCUAGUGUAGCGGUGAAAUGCGUAGAUAUUAGGAAGAACACCAGUGGCGAAGGCGACUUUCUGGACGAAAACUGACGCUGAGGCGCGAAAGCCAGGGGAGCGAACGGGAUUAGAAACCCGUGUAGUCC